rnacentral:ribozyme from 1 species
CGUUCAAACACACACACAACUAAAAAAAUCAAAGAAAACAACAACUACAACUACAAAAUUGACCGCCAAAAGCAUGUUACAGUAUUGGCUCCCCCAAAUCCAUUGGCUUCGGCUUUUCACCACUAUAGAAUGAUUUAUUUUUCUUGAUUUAUUUUUCAUUUUUUUUUCUUCUU